CAGCUGACAUCAUUUGGGCUGGGGUGCUCUGCCCUUGCGUCCCAUACCCACCCAUCGUCUGCACCAUCCAGAAGUUUCUCAAAGACAUUCUUCCGUGCUGGCACUAUUCCGGCUCCCCUGUGACCUCUGGUUCUCAUUUCAUAGCGCUUUGAUUUCGAAGGGAUGUGGAAAGGAGGAGAUAGAAACACGUAGACAGUCCCCCCUCUUGGACUGAAAAGGUGACGGUGAGACAUGGAACCCGAGGGAGAUGUCAGGGAGAGAUGGGACACGAAACCAACCCAGGAUCGACAAUAUUGCCACCGGGGGGCUCGGGAGAAGACAGUCAAGGAGGAGAUUUCCACCUGCAGAGAUUUUAGUCUUGAUGGGAGACGCCAGCAUCAUUGGCGUCCAGGCGCCAGUGUUGAGUGGAGAGCUGUGCUCGUGCUCCGGGGCAGCUUCACCUCUGCUGUUCGUGUUUAGCAUCUGCGUUCCCAUGGCAGCCAUUCCAGGAUUCCCGUAUCUUCCUCCUCCACGUAAUCCUCGUCGUCCUUCAAAGGCGAAAACUCGUUCCGUGUCCUGUGUGGGCAUCCGUGCAGACCGGUCUUGUCCACAUUGGCCGUACAGUCCACCGUACUUCGGACGAGCGCCCCCUAUGGACUAGGAUGCAGCAUUUCAUCCAGUCCCAUUGCCUUAAAAUUCGCAAUGCUUGAUGUCUCCAGUCCUGACCGCUACUCUGAGCUCUGAUGCAGAUGUCCAAGCACCUACUUGAAAUCCCUGCUUGGGUAGAGAAGAAUCUUGAAAUCAACAUGCCCAGAUGAAGUUCACGACUGCAUCUGUCUGAAAACCCAGCCAGACUUCCACCUCCAAAAUAGAUCACUGUUCCAUCAGUGCUCUCCGUGUGCUCCUGUAGGGUGCCUUUCACCUGCACCUGUCACCUGGAGCGAUGGAGACAGUUGUCUCAUGGGCCUCCCGCUUCCUCUCCCACCUCCCAACCAUGCUUCUGCUAGCAACCACAGUGACUUUUCAUAAACACGUCUCAGCUGGCGAUACAGCGUUCACCUUCUAAAGCAUGCUGAGGCUUCACGUUAGAACAAAAUAAAGCUCUUUCCCACGCCC